GAUGAACGCUAGCGGCAGGCCUAAUACAUGCAAGUCGAACGGGCUUAUGUUUUUCGGAAUAUGAGUUAGUGGCGCACGGGUGAGUAACACGUACAUAACCUACCUUCAAGAGGGGGAUAGCCUUGGGAAACUGAGAGUAAUACCCCAUAGUAUCAAGUUGCGGCAUCGUGAGUUGAUUAAAGCUGAGGUGCUUGAAGAUGGAUGUGCGUCUGAUUAGCUAGUUGGUGAGGUAACGGCUCACCAAGGCGACGAUCAGUAGGGGGCGUGAGAGCGUGGCCCCCCACACGGGUACUGAGACACGGACCCGACUCCUACGGGAGGCAGCAGUAAGGAAUAUUGGUCAAAUGGAGGGAACUCUGAACCAGCCAUGCCGCGUGAAGGAUGA
rnacentral:rRNA from 1 species